rnacentral:rRNA from 1 species
CACGUAGGGCGCGAGCGUUGUCCGGAAUUAUUGGGCGUAAAGAGCUCGUAGGCGGCCUGUUGCGUCCGCUGUGAAAGCCCGGGGCUUAACCCCGGGUCGGCAGUGGAUACGGGCAGGCUAGAGGUAGGUAGGGGAGAAUGGAAUUCCCGGUGUAGCGGUGAAAUGCGCAGAUAUCGGGAGGAAUACCGGUGGCGAAGGCGGCAUCCUGGACCGACAUUGACGCUGAGGAGCGAAAGCCAGGGGAGCAAACGGG